rnacentral:rRNA from 1 species
UACGGAGGGAGGCUAGCGUUAUUCGGAAUUACUGGGCGUAAAGCGCACGUAGGCGGCUUUGUAAGUAAGAGGUGAAAGCCUAGGAGCUCAACUCCAGAAUUGCCUUUAGAUCUGCAUCGCUUGAAUCAUGGAGAGGUGAAGUGGAAUUCCUGGUGUAGCGGUGAAAUGCGCAGAUAUCGAGGAGGAACACCGGUGGCGAAGGCUGGGUCUCUGGGCCGAUACUGACGCUGAAGGAGCGGAAAGCGUGGGAGCGAACAGG